UACGGAGGGUGCAAGCGUUAUCCGGAUUCACUGGGUUUAAAGGGUGCGUAGGAGGACUGGUAAGUCAGUGGUGAAAUCUCCGGGCUUAACCCGGAAAUUGCCGUUGAUACUAUCAGUCUUGAAUACCGUGGAGGUGAGCGGAAUAUGUCAUGUAGCGGUGAAAUGCUUAGAUAUGACAUAGAACACCAAUUGCGAAGGCAGCUCACUACACGAAUAUUGACUCUGAGGCACGAAAGCGUGGGGAUCAAACAGG
rnacentral:rRNA from 1 species